UGUCGAUGAAGAGCGCAGCCAACUGUGUGAAUUAAUGUGAACUGCAACCUGCUUUGAACAUCGACAACUUGAACGCACAUUGCGGCCACGGGUUAGCCUGUGGCCACGCCCGUCCGAGGGUCG
rnacentral:rRNA from 1 species